UACGAAGGGGGCUAGCGUUGCUCGGAAUCACUGGGCGUAAAGGGUGCGUAGGCGGGUUAUUAAGUCAGAGGUGAAAUCCUGGAGCUCAACUCCAGAACUGCCUUUGAUACUGAUAGGCUUGAGUAUGGGAGAGGUGAGUGGAACUGCGAGUGUAGAGGUGAAAUUCGUAGAUAUUCGCAAGAACACCAGUGGCGAAGGCGGCUCACUGGCCCAUUACUGACGCUGAGGUGCGAAAGCGUGGGGAGCAAACAGG
rnacentral:rRNA from 1 species